UACGGAGGGUGCAAGCGUUAUUCGGAAUUACUGGGCGUAAAGCGCGUGUAGGCGGGAAGGUAAGUCUGAUGUGAAAGCCCUGGGCUCAACCUGGGAAGUGCAUUGGAUACUGCUUUUCUUGAGUUCUGGAGAGGAUGGGGGAAUUCCCGGUGUAGAGGUGAAAUUCGUAGAUAUCGGGAGGAAUAUCAGUGGUGAAGGCGCCCAUCUGGACGGCAACUGACGCUGAGACGCGAAAGAGUGGGGAGCAAACAGG
rnacentral:rRNA from 1 species